UAGGGAAUCUUCCGCAAUGGACGCAAGUCUGACGGAGCAACGCCGCGUGAGUGAAGAAGGAUUUCGGUUCGUAAAACUCUGUUGUUAGAGAAGAACAGCGCAUAGAGUAACUGUUAUGCGUGUGACGGUAUCUAACCAGAAAGCCACGGCUAACUACGUGCCAGCAGCCGCGGUAAUACGUAGGUGGCAAGCGUUGUCCGGAUUUAUUGGGCGUAAAGCGAGCGCAGGCGGUCAAUUAAGUCUGAUGUGAAAGCCCAUCGCUUAACGGUGGGUUUGCGCCGGGUACGGGCGGGCUAGAGUGCAGUAGGGGAGACUGGAAUUCUCGGUGUAGCGGUGGAAUGUGUAGAUAUCGGGAAGAACACCAAUGGCGAAGGCAGGUCUCUGGGCUGUUACUGACGCUGAGAAGCGAAAGCGUGGGGAGCGAACAGG
rnacentral:rRNA from 1 species